rnacentral:lncRNA from 1 species
GCCCCUCAGGUUCAUGCCAUUCUCCUGCCUCAGCCUCUCGAGUAGCUGGGACUACCGGCGCUCGCCACCAUGCCCGGCUAAUUUUGUUUUUUUUUUUUUUUUUGUAUUUUUAGUAGAGACGGGGUUUCACCGUGUUCGCCAGGACGGUCUCGAUCUCCUGACCUUGUGAUCCGCCUGCCUCGGCCUCCCAAAGUGCUGGGAUUACAGGCGUGAGCCACCGCGCCCGGCUGAACCCAGCUAAACAGUUUUGCUGCUGACAGAGGUAUCCAUGCUCAGCACCGUUGAUGGAAAUUUUUGGAGAAAAGCUUUGAGAAGCCCAUCCUCCAGGGCUGCUCACACAGGCAGCCUAAGCAAGUUCCAUAAAGGAAGGAAUGAAAUGGUAGUCAUGCCUCCCCUGCUCUUGGUUUAGGCAGGAGUGGUGGUGACAGGAAAAUGACCAGGAAGUGGUACUAAGGUGCAACAACAAAGCCAAAGGCAAUGCUUUUCCUUUUUUAACAGCCAUAGUUCUGCCCUGAGGCUUCAUAGGCUAGCAGGCCAAGGGCUGCCCACACAGGGGUAAGUGGGCGGAUGGCCUGGCUCUGGGACAUUAGCCCCUGGCUUUCAUGGAGGUGUGUGCUGAGGUGUGGAAAUGGUGGCUGCCCUUUUCCCCUACUGAGCUAGACCGCACCAGGCCACCCCACCCACUAGUGACAGUCUUGGUUACAAAGUCCUAAACACAAUCUGCCCAACGGGGCCCAUCCAUCUGAGAAAUCACAAUUUAGAGGAGGUGUUCCUCUGCACUGUGUUACAGGAGACACGGCAACCACAAGGUUAAAAUCAGAAGCAAACAGGGGGCCAGUGUUUCUCCACAUGAGCACCUCAGGAUUCUCUCUCUUCUGGAGAUUGUCAACUGAGAGAAGAUUCCUGGGUGCCUUUCUCACGGGCCAAAGGAUGGCUUUGGAGACAACGUGAGUGGGGCAAACGCAGGAUGGGGUGGAAAGUGAGGGGGUGGUGCCAUCAGCCUCACACUCACGGUCACUCGUCUCCGCCGCACUGGUGCCACUACAGUCAACUCCCCAUCCUCAAA